AACGCACAUUGCACCCUCUGGUAUUCCGGGGGGUAUGCCUGUUCGAGCGUCAUUACAACCCUCAAGCUCUGCUUGGUAUUGGGUGUCACCUCGCAAUUGUGGUGCAUCUCAAAAUCAGUGGCGGUGCCACCUAGCCUCGAGCGUAGUAAAAUUUCUCGCUUUGGAGGUUUUGAUGUCCGCUUGCCAGCAACAAAUAUUCAAUGGUUGACCUCGGAUCAGGUAGGGAUACCCGCUGAACUUAA
rnacentral:misc_RNA from 1 species